GACGAACGCUGGCGGCGUGCCUAAUACAUGCAAGUCGAGCGGACAAAGACUACCUUGCUCCUCUGUUUUAGCGGCGAACGGGUGAGUAACACGUGGGCAACCUGCCUGUAACACUGGGAUAACUUCGGGAAACUGGAGCUAAUACCGGAUAAUGCUUUUUGAUUCAUGUUCGGAAGCUGAAAGAUGCUUUCGGCUAUCACUUACUCGUGGCUCCGCGGCUCAUUAGCUAGUUGGUGAGGUAACGGCUCAUCAAGGCAACGCUGCGUAGCCGACCUGAGAGGGUGAUCGGCCACACUGGGACUGAGACACGGCCCAGACUCCUACGGGAGGCAGCAGUAGGGAAUCUUCUGCAAUGGACGAAAGUCUGACGGAGCAACGCCGCGUGAGUGAUGAAGGUGUUCGGAUCGUAAAACUCUGUUGUUAGGGAAGAACAAGUACCGGAGUAACUGCCGGUACCUUGACGGUACCUAACCAGAAAGCCACGGCUAACUACGUG
rnacentral:rRNA from 1 species